GACGAACGCUGGCGGCGUGCUUAACACAUGCAAGUCGAACGGAAAGGCCCUGCUUUUGUGGGGUGCUCGAGUGGCGAACGGGUGAGUAACACGUGAGUAACCUGCCCUUGACUUUGGGAUAACUUCAGGAAACUGGGGCUAAUACCGGAUAGGAGCUCCUGCUGCAUGGUGGGGGUUGGAAAGUUUCGGCGGUUGGGGAUGGACUCGCGGCUUAUCAGCUUGUUGGUGGGGUAGUGGCUUACCAAGGCUUUGACGGGUAGCCGGCCUGAGAGGGUGACCGGCCACAUUGGGACUGAGAUACGGCCCAGACUCCUACGGGAGGCAGCAGGGGGGAAUAUUGCACAAUGGGCGGAAGCCUGAGGCAGCAACGCCGCGUGCGGGAUGACGGCCUUCGGGUUGUAAAACGCUUUCGCCUGUGACGAAGCGUGAGUGACGGUAAUGGGUAAAGAAGCACCGGCUAACUACGUG
rnacentral:rRNA from 1 species